CGCUUGGAGGGGAAGGAGACAGUCUUGCGCGCGUCCUCCGUUUUUGUGAAAUAAUUUGCAGGUGGAUUGAUUUCUGAAGGACAGUUGGUUCUUGUGUAACGUACCAUCCGGUGGAUUAGUGUAUGUGCUUGUGUUAUGGUUACGUGCUUUAAAGACUGUUCUUUUUUCAUUAAGGAGUAGGUGUGGCUAGACUUCAACAGGAAAUCGGCGGAGAUCCAGGAACGGCUCGUGACAGGACAAUGCACGGACUCCCUGCCAAGUGCUGCUGCUUGUGAGGACCGUCUACCGUGACCACAGGUGCAGCCCGACGGCGAGGCGCGAACCCCAGUUGGCGUAACACACACGCAUAGCUCCUCCCGAGGUAAGUGUCUUGAAUAUGUAAAUUAUAUGAAAAAAAUCUAUGCUUUGGUUUUACUUGAUCAGUUGUUUUAGAUUUUUUCUUUAUUGUAUCGUAGAAUUCAGAUUGAUUUUAGCUUUGUCGAGGAUGCUCAGCGGGAGAGGCUUGCAACCUUGUGAAUUGCAGGUGCAAGGCGACGCGUUUAGCCAUGGGUAUUUGCACAUAAUUCUAGUUAAAGUCACGUGUGUGUGUAUGAAGGGAUAGAUUUCUAGAUGUUAGUUUUGAAAGAAUGAGUGU